rnacentral:misc_RNA from 1 species
CUCCGAGUCAAUCCGAGCACGACCGAACCGGCGGCCAUUUUGCAACUCUAGAUACGAGGUUCGAACGUCGUGAAGUUCGGACGUAGCGUCUCGGUCGCCGCGGAUUUAAUUUUGGGAGUGACUCCGAUAGUGAAAUAUUGAAUUAAAAUGCAGUCAACAACGCAGUCAGAAAUCAACGCCUUGACGACAACCCGGUGCAGCUGCAAAUACGUCGGAGCAAAGUAAGCUGAUGCUGUUCAGGCGCUGGGCGACGGAUACUGCGAUGUUAUCAUUUCUCUCCACUGCUCCAGGCGUAUUAUUCCCGGUCCGAACAACAAACAGAGUCGAUUAAUUGGCUGUUCCAGAAACAAAAGAACAGAGACAUAGACGUCGCGUCUGCAUCUAUCGCAGCGGCAAAAAACCGUCUGGACCUUCUCUCCGGGUGGUCCUCGAAAUUACGGACCAGAUAUUUGGACGGCUGCGGGCUUCUGGAAAUAUCGGCACGACGCGAAUGGGAUUCUCCUUCCGUUAUCGAUUUCGCCCAUGGUGAUCGAGCCUGAUGGUGCGGUAAACUCUGGAGAGAAGGGAAAAAAGAAUGGCUUUUAUUUACGAGGGGCACAGAGGCGUCCUGCCGACAAGCUGACUGCAAAGAAACUCGGAGUUGAAUACCGCGAGGAACGGGGUUAGGGGUGGCAGGAGCAACUCGCUGGGGGAAGAAGAAACGUAUUUCCCGGCGGGAAGACGCAAGGAAUUACCGUGGAAAGGAGGAAAAUAAUGAAAUCUCUUCUUAAAAUCUGUUAUUCCGCGUGAUUGAUUUGUACGACACUUCCUGGAUUAAUUCGACCCUCAGGAGUGCAAGAACGGAAUCAAAAACCACGAACGACCAAGAGUUAAGGAAAUGCAAUAAAACUUCGGUAAAAUUUGAUUAGUUUAUUCAGUUGAUACAGGUUACAUAAAAUACAUAAUACAUCAUAUGCCAGUAGAGUUGCACUGAUAUGCAGGUCAAGAACCGUGGUACUGGUUGAGACUAUGUAAAUAAUUAUAUAAUAUAAAGAAUAUCAUGUUCUACUUAACACGAUGUAUACUGUAAAC